GAUCCUGGGCCCAGUCUGUGACUCAGCCCGCCUCAGUGUCUGGGACCCUGGGCCAGACAGUCACCAUCUCCUGCUCUGGAAGCAGCUCCAACGUCGGGUAUAGUAGUGGUAGUUAUGUGGGCUGGUUCCAACAGAUCCCAGGAACAGCCCCCAAACUCCUCAUCUAUAGUAGUAACAAACGAGCCUCAGGGGUCCCAGAUCGAUUCUCUGGAUCCACGUCUGGCAACACAGCCACCCUGACCAUCUCUGGGGUCCAGGCUGAGGACGAGGCCGAUUAUUACUGUGGUUCCUAUGACAGCAGUGGUAGUAGUUACACAGUGCUGCAGGCCCAUGGGGAA